UACGUAGGGUGCGAGCGUUAAUCGGAAUUACUGGGCGUAAAGCGUGCGCAGGCGGUUCGUUAUGUCCGUUGUGAAAGCCCCGGGCUCAACCUGGGAAUGGCAAUGGAAACUGGCGGGCUAGAGUGUGGCAGAGGGGGGUGGAAUUCCGCGUGUAGCAGUGAAAUGCGUAGAGAUGCGGAAGAACACCGAUGGCGAAGGCAGCCCCCUGGGCUGACACUGACGCUCAGGCACGAAAGCGUGGGGAGCAAACAGG
rnacentral:rRNA from 1 species